UGCUUAGUGGUCGGGCGGUAAAGAUACAUGCCUCUCACACUGAAGUCCUGGGUUCGAUCCCCAGUGGAGGAG